rnacentral:hammerhead_ribozyme from 1 species
AGUCGAAACACCUCUUCGGAGGUGUCGUCGGGGGAUGAUCUCCCCGGCCUGAUGAGCCCAAU